CAGCGCCCAUCCACAUUGAGUAAAUAGGCUUACUAGGUCUUAGGGAGGAAAAGGAUGAGGCCUCCUGAGGAUGUCCUAGAUGAGGAUACGUCUCCAUCAUCAUCGUGUGAAUCCCCUGGGACCAACAAGGCACAUGGUGGUCAGCAGGGACAAGAGCCCAACACUCCAAAUGUCCCUCCAUGAGUGGCACUCAUCAGGUAGAAGAAAAAGAGGAAGAAGAGCCAUUGGUCAUUGAUGGCUUCAAGUUUGACCUACGCAUCUACGUGCUGGUGAUGUCUUCGACCCCUUCCGUAUCUUCCUGUAUAAGGAGCGGCUGGCCCGCUUCUGCACCAGCCGCUACAACUCCACCCGCAACAAUGUGGUGUGGCACGGCACAAUGGGCACAACCACAGAAGGGGGAAUGAGCGGGCAACAUGUUUAACAUUGAAAUAAACAUGAGAUGUACACAAUGUCAUUGGUCUUUCGUGUUCAUACUGUGUAGUUUUGUUAGGGACCAUAGACAUGGUAACAUUUGUUUUCUGUCGGUAUUGACAUGUUGCAUAUCGUCCGUCUGUUGUAAGCGUGUUCAAGGGGACAGGGACAGACAGGAACACAAUCAAACACAGACACGCAG
rnacentral:lncRNA from 1 species